rnacentral:rRNA from 1 species
AUACGGAGGGUCCAAGCGUUAAUCGGAAUUACUGGGCGUAAAGCGUACGUAGGUGGCUUGAUUAGUCGGAUGUGAAAGCCCUGGGCUCAACCUGGGAACUGCAUUCGAUACUGUCAGGCUAGAGUAUAGUAGAGGGAAGUGGAAUUCCGGGUGUAGCGGUGAAAUGCGUAGAUAUCCGGAGGAACACCAGUGGCGAAGGCGGCUUCCUGGACUAAUACUGACACUGAGGUACGAAAGCGUGGGGAGCAAACAGGAUUAGAAACCCUGGUAGUCC